AAUAGUGGGUUACGUGGGAACACGAAAGUACCUAUUCGGUGCACUUCGUGUUCGUGGAGACCUAACCCAGACCUAACCCGGCGGCUUAUUCCCUAUUCCGGAAGCCUGCUUUAGCUCCUACGGGAGCAACUAAACUGGUUCUUCGCUCUUCACCCCAGUGUGCAAAAUUGAAAGAGUCUGCACGUAACUCGUAUUUUUGCAAAUUGAACAAACGGUACAGCCCGUUUGGAUCAAGUUAACGUUUUU
rnacentral:telomerase_RNA from 1 species